GGAUUGGUGACCGCAAAUGAAUGGCCGCCCGAAAUUGCUGAAAUUGUAUAAGAAUUCUGAUGGGCGAUCCUUAAGUGCAUGAAUCCAACAUAUUACAUCUGAUCUGCUUGUUACGAACCUUACUGACUGAAACAUUAAAAGUGUAAAAUCAUCUGCACAUAAUGGAUUGUAAGGUCGGAUUGUCUCAUCGUGAGUUGUGUGUGAUUUACCUGAUAUUUUCAUGCGCAAUCAUGCCGUAGACAUAACAGUGGUAAUGAAUAUCGCUGCUACACCAUAAAAGUACACAACGGAACAAUAAGCGUCACAAUUGCUGGAAUGUCAUGUUAGCAAACCCAUUU